rnacentral:tRNA from 2 species
CCCGUUGUAGCUCAAUGGCAGAGCGGCCGGCUGUAGUUUGAUUCUUCGUCAAGAAGAUACCGGCAGGUUGAGCGUUCGACUCGCUCCAACGGGA